UCACUACUGACGAGUCCCACAACAGGACGAAACGAUCGUCCAGUGC
rfam:Schistosoma haematobium scaffold1165_30, whole genome shotgun sequence.